rnacentral:tRNA from 1 species
GCCUGGAUAGCUCAGCCGGUAGAGCAUCAGACAUUUAAUCUGAGGGUCCAGGGUUCAAGUCCCUGUUCAGGUG